GGGAUAUUGAAAUAACACGAAGAUCUCCCCACGUCGUCCGACGACUUCGCAGUUAGGAUAGAGGUCCAAGGCAAGGCACUGGCCGGCGCUUGUUAUUCUUGGUCUUAAUGUCCUCAUGUACUUUGAUCCGUUCUUUAGAAUGAAGUAGUUUUCGUUUUCCAGUUUGGAUUUUUUCAGGUUGGUACGUUAUUCAUAUUGUAGUGCGGUUCUUUAAUGUUGGCAUUUUUUGGGGGUUUUAUUCAAUGUUUUUUGUACAAAAGAUUUUACUUUUUCUUUUAAAGUUUGGUUUAUAUUAUUUUGAAAAAUCUCUUCAAGAAAUGCAGGACAUGUCAUCAGUUGUGGUCCCCGGGAUCAUCGAGUGUUUCGGCCGUUAUCACAAGACACUCUCACCCGAGGGUGGCCCCCCCGAGGUCAAUCAACUCUCGGGAAUGUCCCAUAAUCCAUCAAGAACUUUUUAUUUUUAUAAAGUUUCUAUGGUUGGUUUAACUGUAUAGUUGUUUAAGUAUUUGUCAUCAUUGUUAUCGUUUUGUUGUUUAUUGUUCUUUGUUUUUUAAGGUGGGAUAGAUUUUUCGUUAGUGCUCCUCAGUUUGUAUCAGGAUAGGAUAGAUUUCUCGUUGUUCGUUUGGUGUUAAGAUGGGAUAGAUUUUUCGUUAGUGCUCGUCGGUUGGUUUUAAGAUAAGAUAGAUUUCUCGUUGUUCGGUUGGUGUUAAGAUGGGAUAGAUUUUUUCGUUAGUGCUCCUCAUUUGGUACCUCAUAAGGCUAAAGGUUAAGGUUAGGGGUCGGGAUAGCCACUCGGGUUAAGGUUAGGGAAUAAGGUUAAGGUUAGGAUUUAGAUAAGUGGUGGGGAUAGCCACUCGGGUUAAGGUUAGGGAAUAAGGCUAAAGGUUAAGGUUAGGAUAUAGAUAAGUGGUAGGGAUAAAGUCUAAAGAAAAUUGUUACAUACACUGCAUAACCCCAGGAAAUGUUAAAACAAUUACAAAAUAACCUACACCUCAUACAUAGCAUAGCAUCAGGUAAUUUAAUAUUGUUUAGUUUUAAAUAAAGCAAGAAAAACGUACCCCAGAGUUGUCCUUCGCCUUCGUUGGUCAUUUUGGUAU
ensembl:lncRNA